GGGUUCGAUUCCGGAGAGGGAGCCUGAGAAACGGCUACCACNNNNNNNGAAGGCAGCAGGCGCGCAAAUUACCCAAUCCCGACACGGGGAGGUAGUGACAAUAAAUAACAAUACGGGGCUCUUUCGGGUCUCGUAAUUGGAAUGAGUACAAUUUAAAUCCCUUAACGAGGAACAAUUGGAGGGCAAGUCUGGUGCCAGCAGCCGCGGUAAUUCCAGCUCCAAUAGCGUAUAUUAAAGUUGUUGCAGUUAAAAAGCUCGUAGUUGAAUUUCGGGAUUGACACAUCGGUCGUGCCUUAAGGGGUAUGAACUGGUGUAGUCAAUUUCUCACCUUCUGGAGAACCACGAUGCCCUUAAUUGGGUGUCGCGGGGAACCAGGACCUUUACUUUGAAAAAAUUAGAGUGUUUAAAGCAGGCAUUUUGCUUGAAUACAUUAGCAUGGAAUAAUAAAAUAGGACGGCAUGAUUCUAUUUUGUUGGUUUCUAGGAUCACCGUAAUGAUUAAUAGGGAUAGUUGGGGGCAUUAGUAUUCAAUUGUCAGAGGUGAAAUUCUUGGAUUUAUUGAAGACUAACUACUGCGAAAGCAUUUGCCAAGGAUGUUUUCAUUAAUCAAGAACGAAAGUUAGGGGAUCGAAGACGAUCAGAUACCGUCGUAGUCUUAACCAUAAACUAUGCCGACUAGGAAUCAGACGAUGUUAAUUU
rnacentral:rRNA from 1 species